GUGGCCUGGGUUCCUGGACCCUUGAGGCGGGGAGGGCACCCAGCUGGGGCUGGACCCGGCUGGGGGUGGGUUCGCCCCGCGUCCCCUCGAGCUUUGCCCGCCCGGAGCCCCGCUGCUCCCGGCGGCCAGAACGGAGGGGUAGAGCAGCCCUCGGCGGCCCGGGGGGCAGGCGGCCGUGCCCGUCCCGGGGCUGCGCGAGGCACAGACCCCCGCCCGGCCGUCCGCAGGCAGGCCCGGUGGGGUGACAACUUUGCGCUUUCGUCCUCCAGCGCGCAGCCGUGGCUACUGUGUAGCAGGUUCCGGGCCGGGCCGGCCUGAGGCGGCCAGAGCCCAUCCGGAACCGACCCUGGACCCGGGGAGUUUGUCUCCAGCGUCUGCGGGGAUGUAGCGGCGGAGUUCCACGCACAGCAGUCCACCCAGCUUCAUGCCUGUGAAACUUCCUGUCAAAUCUCAAGCAGGGAAAUGAAGGGACCAAGCCCACAAGAAUGGCAUAAAGAUGAUUUUACACUGAGAACAUCUGGAACAAACAGCAGCUGCAGACAAAAGCCUUUCUUAAACUUCCCUUUGGUGAGUAAAAGAGGCCUGAGAAUGCAGCUGCCCUGAAGCCCUCUCUGCAUGGCCUUCUGUAAGGGAGGACCCUGACUAGGCAUCAGGACCGCCCGAGGAGUUGUGUAAAGACAUCCUAGCAGAACCUUCUGUGCUUCCCACUGAGGCUUUAAAGCUCCCUCCCCAACCCUUCAAGCUGGUAUAGAAAACCUCCCUGGCUAUGUAGAGAACUACUCCUUAUAGCAUGUUCCUGAAUACACACAAUGUAUAAUAAGCUUUUCUUCUAUUAAUCUGUCGGUUAAUUCACAGGCCCCCAGCCACUUGAACCUAAACUGGUAGAGGAAAAGUUUUCCUCCUAGUAACACUUUUCUAGACUUUUCCAGAUACAUCAGAGAGUGUGUGCAUUUGGAAACUGAUUUUGUUUGAAGGUGGAAGAAUCCAGUGUACAUGUGCCCAGGCUUUCUGGAAGUCCUUUUAAAUUUGUCUGAAACAAUAAACGUUGGGUAGUCAUCCUGUAUGUUCACUAACUGACUGAGAACUUUCUCUUUAUCUCCCCUAGGGAAAAUGCUAUAAACCAUUUAAGCUGGGAUGAUCUGCUCUGCUUUCCUGAUUUCCUGUAGGCAUUUAAUCCACAGUCUGAGUUGUUGUUCUCCCCAUUUUAUAGACGAACAGACUGAAAGCGUACAGAACUUGCUAAAAAGUCCACCAUUGCUGAAAACAAGAGCAAGAUGCAGAACAAUAUAUCUAAUUUGCUGCCACUCAUAAAGCAGAAGAAAUAAAAUAAUAAACACAUGCACACAUACAUGCAUCUCUACUUUUUACAUAUACAACUCAGAUAAGCCAGCAGCUAACAGAAGUGAUUACAUUAUAAGGGGGAUGGGCAGUGAGAUUCUGAUCCCCCUUUGAAAAGUUAAAUACAAACUGUGAACAUUAUAGCAAAAAGGCAACUUAUUCACGCAAAGAAAAUUAUUUCAAGUUACACACACACAAAAACCCCAGUAUUACAUCCUUAGGGGGUGGGUUUAUUUCAUAGUAAGACUGUCAAAAGAAGGUAAGAAACAAACAACAUUCCAGUAGUUCAGGACAUAACAAAAAGGCUCCUGCACAGAAGUCCUUCAUCUGUUCUUGUGUGUGUUAAGCAAAGUGUAGCUAAAUUGGCUUUGAAACUAGAGAAGCCCUUAAAAGAUAAGCAAGCAGCUUUCAGUAUUGGCUGUUUGGUAUAUGGAUCAUGAGGUAGAUGAGGGAUGCAGGCUGCUGUAUUAGAGCAGCAGAAGUAUUUAAUAAGUAAUUGGGAAAUGUUAAGAAAAGAAAUCUUGAUUCCAAACACAAUCUCAAUUUUCUUUUGUAAAAUGGAGAUAAAGAGUAAAGGGUGAGUAGGGUCAGUACUGCUUACUUAAUGGCCUUUUAGAGUAGAAGAACCAUUGAAAGAAUUUAUUCUUAAUGAAUCUCAUUUCAGGAGAAGGUUGAUAGCCUGUGGCCUUGGAUUCAGUGCUGAAAGGUUGCUUUAAAGAGUUUUGAGACAAACUAGGUUAUAUAUUCAUUUUCUGAUUUGUAUACCUGUUGUCUAACCUACUAGAAUAUAAGCUUCACAAGGACAGGCAUAUUUGUUUGAAUCACAAUGAAGAGGGUUGUGGUAAUGAUUAAAUAAUUCAUGUAAAGCCCUCACAGUUGACUAUGGGCAUUGCAUAACUAAAUGUAAGAUUGAGUUCACUUAUAGCCAAUAUGAGUAUCUAGCAGAUUUGUAUUUUGGCAUUGACUUGUCAAGUGUAAAUUUUCAAAAACUUUUGAAUUAGAGUUUUUAGACCAUUUUGGAAUUCUUGUCUUGGCUAACUUUGUUUCCCUUUUCAAGUGUUGGGGUACAUUAGAAACCUCAUACAUAUAUGCAAAUAUAUCCAUUAGCCCCUUAUUUCCCAAUGUCAGGUACUAACAGAAGAAAAUUUAUGAAAUGAGAAGACAGUCGUUGGAGUGUUAGAAAAUACCUAUUGGAAGGAUAAAGUCUUACUUUAUGAAAUAGCAAAUGAUUUUGAGAUGUGUUAAGCCACCCAGUAUUGGGUUAGGUGAUAAUAAAAGCUUUUCUACUUCCAUAUGUAAAGUUUGUAAGGGAUAAAAAGUCAUGGAAAAUAGUUUCAGAUUUACUAGUGAUGGAUAUAGACCUUUUUUAUGUUUGAAACUUAAAUUAUUUUGUAGGGAAAGUAUCUUCCCAUCAUUAUGCAACAGAUGGAGGACAAGACACAUUUGGUUGGCAAAAGAAUUUAUACUUUAUUAGCCAUCUCAAAAGCUCUACAAGAUGUUUUAGUAAUUCAUUGAAUUAUUUAUCACUGUUUACCAAAACUCAAGGAGAGAUACUAUAAAUCAAAGGCUGUGUAAUCAAUUCUGUUAGAAUUAAUUUUUUGAGUGAUGUUUGUUACAAUCAUGACUAAUCUGAACAUCUUAACCUACAAUUAGGAUUAGAUAGCUUUCCAAAAGACAUUGUUUUAAAGCAUUUUGUUUGCAAAUUGAUAGUUUUAGAAGUUGUGAUUUAAUAAAUGAAAAACAUAAAGUAUUGUUAUACAGGCAUCCUGCUUCUUAUUAAAGUUUAACUCACAAAAUUA